rnacentral:rRNA from 1 species
UACGUAGGGUCCGAGCGUUGUCCGGAAUUACUGGGCGUAAAGGGCUCGUAGGCGGCCAACUAAGUCAGACGUGAAAUCCCUCAGCUUAACUGGGGAACUGCGUCUGAUACUGGAUGGCUUGGAUUCGGGAGAGGAAUGCGGAAUUCCAGGUGUAGCGGUGAAAUGCGUAGAUAUCGGGAGGAACGCCGGUGGCGAAAGCGAUUCUCUGGUCCUUUCCUGACACUGAGGCGCGAAAGCUAGGGGAGCAAACAGG